rnacentral:rRNA from 1 species
GAAUAUUGCACAAUGGGCGCAAGCCUGAUGCAGCAACGCCGCGUGAGGGAUGACGGCCUUCGGGUUGUAAACCUCUUUUGUCAGGGAAGAAGCCUUCGGGUGACGGUACCUGGAGAAAAAGCACCGGCUAACUACGUGCCAGCAGCCGCGGUAAUACGUAGGGUGCAAGCGUUGUCCGGAAUUAUUGGGCGUAAAGAGCUCGUAGGCGGUUUGUCGUGUCUGCUGUGAAAACGCAAGGCUUAACCUUGCGCCUGCAGUGGGUACGGGCAGACUAGAGUGCGGUAGGGGAGACUGGAAUUCCUGGUGUAGCGGUGGAAUGCGCAGAUAUCAGGAGGAACACCGAUGGCGAAGGCAGGUCUCUGGGCCGUUACUGACGCUGAGGAGCGAAAGCAUGGGGAGCGAACA